rnacentral:rRNA from 1 species
GACAGAGGGUGCAAACGUUGUUCGGAAUUACUGGGCGUAAAGCGCGUGUAGGCUGCUCGGAAAGUCGGAUGUGAAAGCCCUGGGCUCAACCUAGGAAGUGCAUUCGAAACUUCCGAGCUGGAGUGCUGGAGAGGAAGGCGGAAUUCUCGGUGUAGAGGUGAAAUUCGUAGAUAUCGAGAGGAACACCGGUGGCGAAGGCGGCCUUCUGGACAGUGACUGACGCUGAGACGCGAAAGCGUGGGAGCAACAGG